GCACGAUAGUAAAUACACAACAAGAAAUAGAUUGCAAACUAGUCAGCUGACAAGGACAAGGCCUCGCCUCCACACCAACUGCCUCUAUUUUGCACCCACGGGCACAAUUACUUGCUUCAAAGUGAACAGGCAGAAGCUGCAGAUGUGAAGCAUCAACAUUAAUGAUUACAGACUCCAACCUAGGAGACAUAUGAGAUGAAAUACCAUGGAUCGUUGAGUGGGAUUGAAGCACAGGCCUGCCCAGCUACCUUCUCCAACACCACA
rnacentral:misc_RNA from 1 species